UUUGUACUCCCUCCACCCCAAAAUUCUUGUCUUAAAUUUUUCUAAAUACGGAUGUAUCUAGUUACAUUUUAGUGUUAGAUACAUCUGUAUCUAAACAAAUGUAAGACAAGAAUUUUGGGACGGAGGGAAUACUAC
rnacentral:pre_miRNA from 1 species